UUUGGCUCUCUGGCUUGGUCAAGAGGGGAAGGAGACUACUAGGACAAUGGAUAGCUGAUUAGCUGGAGCUAAGAAAUUAGUGGUGAUUAAGAAGAGACCUGCAUCACUGCGGUGAAAUCUUCUGGAAAGUGUUUUCUGAGAGCACAAAGAAGCUGUGUUCCAGUGAUAGCCAAGGUUGUACCUCGUGCUGCAGCUGUACUCGAUAAUGUCUAAGAGUCAUCCAGGUGGUACUGGUUUUAAAGGCAUGAAGAGGUCAUGAAGAGCAGCUGAGGCUUGGCAUUGUGAGAAGCCAUGGAAGAUCUGUUGGUGAAGGUGCAGCCUCAGUUGCAGUUGACAGCCCAGGACUGAAGGGGUCAUGCAAAGAAGUUGAGGCUUAGCACUGUGAAGAGAGCCUAUGAGAGCUAUUGGUGAAGCCUAGCAGUGGAAGACUCCAGUGUAUUGUAGAUGCCAGUACAAUGGGAUGAUCACCAAGAACAGCAUCAGCAGUGGAGUGGAUCAACCUGAGCUUAGAGUGCUACAGAGUACAGAGCUGGAGAAGUGGUAUCAGUCCUUUGGAGGAGCCCAAAAGAUCAUGUGUGGGUCCCAGACAUUGAAACAAGAAGCUGUAACAUUAAAAUUGCCUUGGAGAUCCCAAGAUGGUCGAGAUGCUAGAGCCACGGGCUGCUAACAAGGGGGUGGAACCAGCCCAGGAGAAAAAAGUUUGUUGCAGUCAACAAGGAUAAAAAAGGAGUUGGAGAUCUGAAGACCACUUUGACAUCAGUUGUGGAGAUGCAGAGUUUUGACUUUGUCAAGCUGACUUCCUGUCUUGCUUUGAGGAUUAUAGUUAAGUGAUUGGAUGAACUUUGGACUUUUAACAUUGUUGAGACUGCUAUAGAUUAUGAGGGCUUUUGAAGCUGGACUAAAUGUAUUUUUUAUUAUGCUAUGGAUAGGUAUGGCCCCCAUAGACUCAUUGCUGAAACAAGCCUAUGGGGGCCAGGAGUGGAAUGUGAUAGUUUGUAUAUGCUUGGCCCAGGGAGUGGCACUAUUAGGAAAUGUAGCCUUGUUGAUUAGGUGUAUCACUGUGGAUGUGGGCUUUAAUACCCUUGCCUUAGCUGCUUAGAAGUCAGUAUUCUGCUAGCAGCCUUUAGAUGAAGGUGUAGAACUCUCAGCUCCUCUUGCACCAUGCCUGCCUGGAUGCUGCCAUGUUCCUGCCUUGAUGAUAAUGGACUGAACCUCUGAACCUGUAAGCUAGCCCCAAUUAACUGUUGGCCUUAUAAGACUUGCCUUGGUCAUGGUGUCUAUGCACAGCAGUAAAACCCUAACUAAGGCACUUACAAACAGAUGUGGGGAGGCAGGGGAUGGGGCAGAGAGGGAGAGAAGGGAAGAGAGGGAGAGAGGGAAAGAGAAUAUCUUUGGAAUAUUGUAUGUAUUCACUGUUUUGAUUAUGCUGAUUUCCUUGGCAUUUACUUAAGUCAGAAUUUAUCAAAUAUCUACUUUACUGAUCUACAAAUUCUUGUAUUUUUGUUGUCCUUUAACAAAUCUAUUUUAAAAUAUUCAUAGAUAUAAACAAGUUACUGAGAGUUGCUACAAUCAUUUCCACCUUUUAACUUUUGUGGAAGGCUCAUUCAUUAGGCUAGAUACAGAGCCUGCCUUCCUGCAGAUGUGCUGAAAGAAGAGGGCAUCAGAGACAGAGGCCAAGAUGCAGGUCACUCUGUACAUGGUGGAACUCUAACACAUUAUCUUCUGUGUAUCUAUGAGGCAGAUACUGUCAUCAUAGCCAUUUCAUUGCUAAGAAAAUUUCAGGCCAAUAAGAGUUGGUGUUUGAAGAAGCCAAUGACCAACACCCCCUACUCUGUGACUUCUAACCUUUGACACCGGAAUCAGACAGAUGGUGAUGAAAAUGUCAGCUGGUUAUGAAUAAAAGCUUUUUGAAGGGC
rnacentral:lncRNA from 1 species